CUGCCAGCUGUCGGCUAGAGCACACGUGCCAAGACGAGUAGGCACAUUUGCUAUUUAACGCAACAGUUUUCGUGACAAAACUAUCCGUAGAGUUAAAAAUGUGAUGGAAACACAUUGAACUUUAGAUUUUUAUUCGGUAUGUGAAUUUAAGCAGGUCAAAUGUAGUUUGGGGUGAGAUUUCAUGGUUACAAUAAAUGACAAUAGGCCUCCAGGUGUCCGACAGAGACAAAACUGUAGUUUAUUUUAGAAUCUGACGAAAGUAGGGGUUGCAAUAAUGAAACAGAUGGGCAAUCUCAUGCAACAGGGUUGAAGUGGGAUAGCCAGGCUGGAAGUUCCGACAAAAUAUAGCUCACUGCAAACACGUCAAUGUAAGGCUGGUUGAAGUUGCCUCCCCUCCCGUAUAUAAUGUGCACAUGCAAGCAUCUUAUCAUCCGUGAAGGAAGGGUCUGUAUCCAUUACCUACCACUUUCACCUGCGCGCGUCAAUCAAGCCGUUUUCCUGACACAACACUUCACCCUGGUUGGCUGUUCUGUUUGAGGGAGGUGACGCAAACGGCCAUAUUGACAUCCCAUUGGAAAAGACAGUGUGAGGCAUUGGAGUGACGCAGCUUGGAAUUCCCACAUUUUCCGACGUUCACGACAGGAAAGCUGUCUGUAAAACAAUACCAGGACAUAUUCGAGCUAAAACGGUGAAAUUGAAUUGAAGUCCGCAGGAAUAAGUUGUAGUUGCUGUGCUGAGCGUCAAGGGGGCAAUGUCUGACAGCAGCAGCACAGGCAGCAGCCGCAGUGGAUCCUCAACCAACAGUUGGACCAUGCUGUCCCCAGAGAGAAGACACCUUCAACACCUACUUGAAGGCACCGGACCAGGUGAACAGCCAUCGGAGGAAAGCCAACUACCACCGGAACAAGUAAGUAGCUAGUUAUAUUUUUUUUAAAUCCAGGAGAAAAAAAAUCCUAUU
rnacentral:lncRNA from 13 species